rnacentral:rRNA from 1 species
GGACUACCAGGGUUUCUAAUCCCGUUCGAUUCCCACGCUUUCGUGUAUGAGCGUCAGGAGCGCGCCAGUAGAGUGCCUUCGCAUUUGGUGUUCCCCAUGAUAUCAACGGAUUUCACCCCUACACCAUGAGUUCCCUCUACCUCUCGCGUCCUCAAGCUUUGCCGUUUCGCCCGCAGUAUCGGGGUUAAGCCCCAAUGCUUUUACGGGCGACUAACAAAGCCGCCUGCACACCCUUUACGCCCAGUGAUUCCGGAUAAUGCUUGGGGCCUCUGUAUUACCGCGGCUGCUGGCAC